rnacentral:rRNA from 1 species
UACGUAGGGGGCAAGCGUUGUCCGGAAUCAUUGGGCGUAAAGCGCGCGUAGGCGGCCCGGUAAGUCCGCUGUAAAAGUCCAGGGCUCAACCCUGGAAAGCCGGUGGAUACUGUCGGGCUAGAGUCCGGAAGAGGCGAGUGGAAUUCCUGGUGUAGCGGUGGAAUGCGCAGAUAUCAGGAGGAACACCGAUGGCGAAGGCAGCUCGCUGGGACGGUACUGACGCUGAGGCGUGAAAGCGUGGGGAGCGAACAGG